rnacentral:rRNA from 1 species
CUGGAUUUUAUCAUCGGCGACCCUCAACACUGGCCCCAUCCGGUACGCUGGAUAGGUCGUUUAAUCACGUUUGUGCAGCGUAUUGUGCGUCGCUAUUGUCCCGGCGAUAAAGCGCUGCGGAUUGGCGUCGAACCGACUAAUGUUGAAAAAUUAGCGGAUGACCUGUGGCUGGGGGUGAAAGGCCAAUCAAACCGGGAGAUAGCUGGUUCUCCCCGAAAGCUAUUUAGGUAGCGCCUCGUGAAUUCAUCUCCGGGG